GGAGGUGGGGAGAGGGGGAGGAGGGGAGAAGGGGGGGAGAAGGGGGAAGGGAGAAGGGGGGAAGGGCAGGCCCCUGUGGCGGAGACGUGGCUGAAGAUUUGGGGCUGGCCUCCCGGGCAGGGCGGGCUUCCCAGCUCGGGGUAGGGUGGGUGGGGGGCCUUGGGGAAAAAGUCCUCAGGUCUGGGAGGUUGGCCUGUCCCUCCCUCCAUCAGUCGCUGAUGCCUCAGGGGUCUGACGCUGGUGCAGGAGGCUGGGAACGCCCCAAUCCAUCCCCAUUCCCACUAUCUCUCACCCCUGUUCAUGCUGCUCCCCAUCUCUGUGAGGAGACAGGACCCGGAGCUGUGCCAGCUGGGCACAGUAGAUCGGGUGGGGGGAGCCUAAACCCCCCGGGGCCUACCUCCAGUCAGGCUCUAAGGGGUGUUGGCCUGCAGAGAUGCCGGAUUAAAUGUCUCAGUCCAGAGCUCGGCUUUUCUGACCAGGGCAGGUUCUCGUGGAGCCAAAGGGAAAGGGUUUUAAGCUGAAGAGAGAGCGACAGCCUGUCUGGAAGAAAGCUGGAAUUCAAAUCCCAGCGGUUCCCUGACUCCCUCCAUCCGCCAAAACCUUCCUGUGGAGCCACAGGCAGAUGUGAGCUCAGUAUGAAAGAGGACAGAAGAUGCCUGACUCAGCACCUGAGGUCCCUCUCCGACAUCUGGAGUCGGAAGUCAGGCCUCUCAAAGAAGAUCCUUAAUAGCCUCACCAUGUGGCAGGCACUGUUUGGGGUAUCUCGAGAGCGACAGAUGCCCGUUUUUUGACCUUGUGGGGGCAGUGUCACUGAUUCAGCAGAGGAGCUAGAUCCAGGUGCAGGAUGCCUGUUCAAGGUCUGUGCAGAACCGUGGACGCAAGGAGGGGAGGCUGCAGCCAGGGCACCUGCUGUGGGCUGUUGUCAUUGUUUGCGUUGGAACAGGGAGAGGGGGGAACCCAGCACAGCCACAGGUGCAUCGCAGAAUGUGGACUAAGAACAGCCAUCCUGGCCUUCCUGCAGCAACAUGGUGGUGGCAUUCUUUCCAACCGGGGAAGGACAUUUUCAAAAGUAGAGAAUUCACCUGCGAUCCUGUUAUGCUUAGGUUUCUCUGUUUUGUCCGCUUUCCAUCUCAGAUAUUCUCCACGUAUGUAUUUUUUACACAAUGGUUUCAGAGGCUUAUGUGUAAUCAGGAUGUGCACAGUUUGAGUCUGCUUUUCUCACUUAGUGCAAAUGCGCACUUUGCUAAGUUGCUUAAUUUUCUAAUCCCUUAAUUUUGAAUAUUUAGGUGGUUGGUAGUAUUUUUUUCUUUUCUUUUCUUUUUUUUUUUUUUUUUUUUUUGCUGUUACAGAAAUUUGUCCUAAAUGCACUACAACCUUUUCUCACUGUUUUCAGGGCAUAAAUACCCUCGCGAUGGUCAAAGGCUAUGAAAAUUUUCAUAGUUUGAUACAAAUGCUUGCACUGAGCAGUAAUUAUCAGGCACUGAAGGAAGUCAGAGGUUCGGUGCAAUCUGGUUAGAGAUAUUCAUCAGUAAAAAUGUAUUUUUCCACUUCGCUAGAUUAUGAGAUGAAAUGGUACCUCAUUUUAAUUUACAUUUCCUUGAAAACAGUAAGAUCGGAAAUCUUUCCAAAUGUAAUUCCUCUUAUGUAAACUGCCUAAUUAAUAUAGCCUUCAGAUAUUGAGCUAUUAUUUUAUAUUUCUUUUUUUUUUUUUUGUCUUUUUGUCUUUUAGGGCCUCACCCACAGCAUAUGGACAUUCCCAGGCUAGGGGUCUAAUUGGAGCUGUAGCCGCUGGCCUACACCACAGCCACAGCAACGUGGGAUCUGAGCUGUCUGCGACCUACACCGCAGCCCACAGCAAUGCUGGAUCCUUAACCCACUGAGUGAGGCCAGGGAUCGAACCCGAGUCCUCAUGGAUGCUAGUCGGGUUUGCUGAGCCACGACGGGAACUCCUAUUUUAUAUUUCUUAUUAAUUUGUAUGAACGAUUCAUCCUUGUCACAAUUGCUUCAAAUAUUUUUCCACUCUUCUAGCUAUUUUUAAUUUUUGGUUUUACAUUUUCAUAGUCAAAUUUGUUGGUCCUAGCAAGUUUCAGGGUUUAGAAUGUUACUUUCUUCUUUCUAAAAACAUCCAAUUCUAUUCUUGUUAAAAUUCUGUAUCCUCCUUUUAAAUCCACCUAGAGUGUAAUCUUUUUAUUUAUUUAUUAAAAAAA
rnacentral:lncRNA from 1 species